rfam:Triticum aestivum genome assembly, contig: Triticum_aestivum_CS42_TGACv1_scaffold_158319_2DL
GGUGACAAAUGAUGUGAAAUAUCAUGUUGGACGUUGAAUCUUUAAUAUGUUUACAAAACUCCGCUUGUUAUCUCAUGCUAAC